rnacentral:lncRNA from 1 species
CCGGACUUUACUCGUAAUUUUUGGCUCACCCAUCAUUCCUCUUACUCUGAUUUGGCCAAAUAAGUAAUCGGAAUCGAAUUCUGAGCGAGUAGAGAGAAUUUUUACCUUUUUUGGCGAUCGACGAUUGGCUUUCUUCUCCAGUGUCAGGUUUUUCUUCUCCAUCGGGGGCUGACAGUUAGGGUUUAGGUUUUCGUGCGAUGCAAAAUAUUUAUAACUAUCCCGUAUUGAUAUAUA